rnacentral:rRNA from 1 species
AGAGUUUGAUCCUGGCUCAGGAUGAACGCUGGCGGCGUGCUUAACACAUGCAAGUCGAACGAUCCUUCGGGAUAGUGGCGGACGGGUGAGUAACGCGUGGGAAUCUGCCCUCAGGAGGGGGAUAACGGCUGGAAACGGCCGCUAAUACCCCAUAUGCCGAGAGGUGAAAUGAAUUUCGCCUGAGGAUGAGCCCGCGUCUGAUUAGCUAGUUGGUGGGGUAAAGGCCUACCAAGGCAACGAUCAGUAGCUGGUCUGAGAGGAUGAUCAGCCACACUGGGACUGAGACACGGCCCAGACUCCUACGGGAGGCAGCAGUGGGGAAUUUUCCGCAAUGGGCGAAAGCCUGACGGAGCGACGCCGCGUGAGGGAUGAAGGCCUCUGGGCUGUAAACCUCUUUUCUCAAGGAAGAAGACCUGACGGUACUUGAGGAAUAAGCCACGGCUAAUUCCGUGCCAGCAGCCGCGGUAAUACGGGAGUGGCAAGCGUUAUCCGGAAUUAUUGGGCGUAAGCGUCCGCAGGCGGCCUUGUAAGUCUGUUGUUAAAGCGUGGAGCUCAACUCCAUUUAAGCAAUGGAAACUACAAGGCUGGAGUGUGGUAGGGGCAGAGGGAAUUCCCGGUGUAGCGGUGAAAUGCGUAGGUAUCGGGAAGAACACCAGUGGCGAAGGCGCUCUGCUGGGCCAUAACUGACGCUCAUGGACGAAAGCCAGGGGAGCGAAAGGGAUUAGAUACCCCUGUAGUCCUGGCCGUAAACGAUGAACACUAGGUGUCGGGGGAAUCGACCCCCUCGGUGUCGUAGCCAACGCGUUAAGUGUCCCGCCUGGGGAGUACGCACGCAAGUGUGAAACUCAAAGGAAUUGACGGGGGCCCGCACAAGCGGUGGAGUAUGUGGUUUAAUUCGAUGCAACGCGAAGAACCUUACCAGGGUUUGACAUCCUGCGAACCCCUGAGAAAUCGGGGGGUGCCUUCGGGAGCGCAGAGACAGGUGGUGCAUGGCUGUCGUCAGCUCGUGUCGUGAGAUGUUGGGUUAAGUCCCGCAACGAGCGCAACCCACGUCUUUAGUUGCCAGCAUUCAGUUGGGCACUCUAGAGAGACCGCCGGUGAUAAACCGGAGGAAGGUGUGGAUGACGUCAAGUCAUCAUGCCCCUUACAUCCUGGGCUACACACGUACUACAAUGCUACGGACAAAGGGCAGCAAGCUCGCGAGAGUUAGCAAAUCCCAUAAACCGUGGCUCAGUUCAGAUCGUAGGCUGCAACUCGCCUACGUGAAGGAGGAAUCGCUAGUAAUCGCAGGUCAGCAUACUGCGGUGAAUACGUUCCCGGGCCUUGUACACACCGCCCGUCACACCAUGGAAGU